AUAUAUACCUGGCUCAGAGGCAACCAUGAUCACCAAGGUGGUUCCUCCAGGGUGAUGCAUUUCAUUGCACUAAGGAUGGGCUGACCCUUGCGAUUAAUCCAAAUGUGAUUGACUCGGGAGUACA
rnacentral:snRNA from 1 species